rnacentral:rRNA from 1 species
GCUCCUGUGACGCGAGUGGCGGACGGGUGAGUAACACGUAGGCAACCUGCCCAUCAGACCGGGAUAACCACGGGAAACCGUGGCUAAUACCGGAUAAUCCUUUUCUUCACAGGAAGGAAAGUUGAAAGGCGGUUUUGCUGUCACUGAUGGAUGGGCCUGCGGCGCAUUAGCUAGUUGGUGGGGUAAGGGCCCACCAAGGCGACGAUGCGUAGCCGACCUGAAGGGUGAUCGGCCACACUGGGACUGAAACACGGCCCAACUCCUACGGGAGGCAGCAGUAGGGAAUCUUCCGCAAUGGACGCAAGUCUGACGGAACAACGCCGCGUGAGUGAAGAAGGGUUUCGGCUCGUAAAACUCUGUUGUCAGGGAAGAACGUCCCCGUGAGUAACUGCCGGGGAGUGACGGUACCUGACCAGAAAGCCACGGCUAACUACGUGCCAGCAGCCGCGGUAAUACGUAGUGGCAAGCGUUAUCCGGAAUUAUUGGGCGUAAAGCGCGCGUAAGCGGUCUGUUAAGUCUGAAAGCCCCCGGCUCAACCGGGGAGGUCAUUGGAAACUGGCAGACUUGAGUGCAGAAGAGAGAGUGGAAUUCCAUGUGUAGCGGUGAAAUGCGCAGAAUAUGGAGGAACACCAGUGGCGAAGCGGCUCUCUGGUCUGCAACUGACGCUGUGCGAAAGCGUGGGGAUCAAACAGGAUUAGAUACCCUGGUAGUCCACGCCGUAAACGAUGAUGCUAAGUGUUAGGGGUUUCCGCCCCUAUGCUGCAGCUAACGCAUUAAGCAC